AGCUGGAAUAAAGAGAGAUAUCGGGGGAAAGCCGCGAGAAGGCCAGCGUCCCUCGCUGGGAGCAGAGCUAGCCGAGUAGGGCGCCCGGCUGUCAAACUGGCCGGCGCAGUGCACGCUGGGCCGCCCCGGAGCGAUCGCAGAGCCCGUCGGGAGUCGUAGUCCCGGACGGGCCCGCGGCAUCGUCCGCGACGCAGCUCGGGAUCCGGGUCGGGGUGUCGGCCGGGUUGCUGCCGGGCACCGUCGAGCGUUAGCCACCCAGCAUUGAGCUGCCAGCGGCUGUUCUCCCUAAGCACCCUCGCUCACGUCGCCUCGCCUCGCCUGACCGGCCGCAGCCUUGGAUACCAGCCUUAAAUCGAGCCGACUACGGCCCAGCCCCGCCCGCGGCGAGGUGCGCGGGGUUCGGUGCGAGCCCCUCGCCCCUGGCCGGGCCAGCCUCUUGAUGCACCGGGGACGGGCGCGCCCAUCCGACUCUUCGAGGGGCGGCAGGGCCCCAUCUGUGUCUUUCGCUCUCGAGCCCCCAGCUAGAGUUGGCUUCAGCGGAAUACCUACUGUGCGGGAUUAUUCAACAAGCCGAUUGAUCACAUUCUUCAGCUCUAGCAGUGCAAAGGCUUCACUGAAAAAGAACAUUACAACUUUUUUGAAAGAAAUUUGGGGGUGACUAUGUGUGUGAAUAUUUAAGAAUUCUAAAACCGCAUGGGAUUACUUAUAACUGUAUAGGAGCCUAACACGAUAAUGGAAUCAGAAUAUACUUUGCUGAAGGAUCCACUGAAGACCUACAUUUCCCGGAAGGUUAACAGCCCCCUUCUCAGUUUUCCUGGUGCUCCUAUCAGUGACAAAUCAGUGUAUUAGAACAUGCAUGCUGGCUGAUCAUUCUGAUCAAGUCAACAAGCUUCACAACUUACUCAAUGAGGUCGUCCGUGAGAACUUCACUGUUUUACGAGGACAGGAGCUACUUCUUUGCUGAACUGCAUCACGGUUUCAACUGCUGAGGUUUUCUUCAAGCUUUUGCAUUGUUUGGAAUGUGAAAGGCACGGCCGAGACACACUUUGAGGUUCCCACUGCAUUGUUACACCUCCCCCCUCACUUCAGGGCCAGGUAACACCAAGAAGGACGCCAUGAGAGCGAAGGCCGUUGGGUCACCGCCCUUUGCUCUCGCGCUGCGCGUCUCCCUGCCAUCAACCGCCGCAACUGGCGCUGGGAGCGGUUGAGGGCGGCCGGCCUCGCGCUGGAACCUCGCCCGCCUCAAGGCUCCUGCGGCGGCGCACAGGGCAGGCCAGGAGCCCGCCCUAGGAGGGCCCCGCUGGAGAUGUGGAAAUGGAGGGACGCGGCACCUGGGUGCUUCCUGGGGCCAGACAACGCCCCCUCAUUGGAACCUCCAUGACCGUGCCUCUGAGAAACCAGCGCGUCCGCAACGAUCACUCCUAAUUUUCGGAUUCCUAUCAUCUGUCUCCACGUGAUAACACUGAAGAGCCUUCACAUUGAUGCAGGCCCAGGGCCUCAAGUGCAGAGUCUGAGAGCUCUGCAGGACACAGCAUGGAGCCGCCAUUCCUCUACUGGGUGGAGGAGCAUGUGUCCUCUGAACAGGGGAUCCAAGCCCUGAGAUGUUCUUUCUCAGCUGUCAGUGCGGCCCAGGACUUUCUGUGGGGAUGCUCAGACAGCAGGGGCCGGAGGACUUUUAGCCACCACCUCCCAUGGCCAGUCUUCACAAAUUACCUUUGGCUAAUUUGACUGUCUCUCCUCCUGGGGUCUAGGACUUCAAACAUGUACAGAAGCGAUUGCAGAAUUAAGACAAGACACUUCCACAAUAUAUUUUUUGUAUCACUGGCUCAGAAAAAGACUCAUUCAAAUCCUGUAUCAAAGCCACAUGUGAGAAUCUUGAGAAAGCAUCAGCUGACUGACUUGACAAGGGAGGAAGCAACCAAAAAUUCUGCGCUUCUUCAGUAUCUGAGUAUGAUAUUUUGCUUCAACAUCCCUCUUAGAUGAAGUUAUUGAUUGAAAAUCAUUUAAGUUUGCCCCAUGGUAAAAGAUCAAGUCCUCAGAAAGAUCUCCAAAGUGUUUACAGUUUGUUUUGUUUUGGUAAGUUUACCAUGAUUUUGCUUGAAUUGCUCUCCGUUGAUCUUCUCAGCUAAGAUGGAGGUAGAGUUGCACAGUGGAAGAGGGCUGCAUGUAAGAAGGCAGUUCUGUCUCAGAGGACAAAAGGCCUGGGAGCACCCAGACAGACAGUCACUGCAUGGAGGUCACUCCCCUCCCAGUGGCCACUGUGGAGACAUUUCACAGAAAUGCUUGCUGGACCAUUCAGGUUCAGAGUUGGGACAAAACCGAGAACUCAUGGGGAUAUUGGACAGGAGUUAGGAAAUGACCUUCUCACACAACUGGGGCAGUGGGGGAGAACCCUGGGCUUGAGACUUGCAAUCCACCACUUGCCCCUGCCCCUGCCCCUGCAGUGUGGCCGCUGUUACAUUUUCCUGCAACUCUGCCUUCUUGAGUCCAAGUGUCUUCGAAAGGGCAAAUGCUUCGUAAGUGCCGACAGGGUGUGUUUCAGUGAAUGUUUGCAGUGUGCACCGGUCUGGCUGAAGGCCUCUUCCCUUCCCCAACACCCUCCCAUCGUGCAAAAUUACCCUGCCCAGCAGGGAGUGAUUUGUGUGUCUCAGAAGAUUUUGUUGCUGUGCUCUGAGUUCUCACUCCUCAUCUCCUUUGACCAGUUUCUUCUAAUACUCCCCUUGUUCACAACACAGAACAUGAGUGCUCUUUCCUAUCAUUUUGAUACUAAUAAACGGACAGUGAUUCUCAGUGUGGAAAUGAGAAUGAAGCUUUUUUUAAAGACAGGCUACAAUAAUUCCCAUGCAGAGAACCACAUGCCAUGACACUGGAUUCCAAACAGCAAGAACGUAUGGUGAAGACGAGGCCAACAGUGAGCUGAGAGAGGCCAGCCAGGGUGUGUUUCAGUGAAGAUGAGAAACAAUCAGAUAACACCUGUUUCCUCCAGGAAAGAAAAUGUGGCCAGGGAAAAGAGAUGGGAGGAAGGCUGGUCAUUGCCUAUUCCACUGUGCACAGUUUGAAUUUGGAGCCAUGAAAAGUAUUGCUUGGUUAAAUUAAAAUCAUUCAAAAGAUAAAACAUAAACAUUUAACACCAGCACAAUAUGCUGGGAAACAAAAUGAAAGGAUUUCUGGUCUCGGUGCUGUAGGUCACAUAGCCACUCUUUCCUGGAUUGAGGCUUUCCAGCAAAGGGGCUGGGACGUAAGGCUGGCCUGCUGGUGUGGACAGAGAUUCCAGCAACAUGCAUGACCUGGGGGUACAAGGAUUGCUUCCUAAACAAUGAUAAGCACACAGCCACCUAAUAGUCUGGAUCGGCUGAGACCAUCCUGAUUUCAAACAC
rnacentral:lncRNA from 1 species